rnacentral:misc_RNA from 1 species
AUAUUGCGUUGCACACAAACGGUCACAUUGAUUGACAGACGCGAAGUUAUAAGUAAAAUUUGGUUUAAGUUAGGCAAAGACCAAAUGGCUGAUUCCGACGAUGAGUACGACCGCAAGCGACGGGACAAAUUCCGUGGAGAGCGCGACAGUUACCGUACGGAACGCCGGGAUGACCGCCGGCCGGUGGGCGGCUCUGCCGGUGCCCGCGACGAGUGGGCGGAGCGGGGCGCAGCUUCCGCAGGUGGCGGAGGAGCUCGCCACAGACCAGACUAUAGCGACUACCGUGGUCCGGGAGCCAGACCACGCUAUGGGUCACCCGGCCGUGAUUUGCCCCCAGCCAAGCGUAUGCGCCCGGACUGGGGCGACGGAGAUGUGCGCGCCAAUCCCCGCUUCGGGGGCUAUGAUCCGUAUUUGAUGCAGGCCUGGAACGACCACUACCAGUCGAUGCACUCGGCCUACUCCCACGCCGGCCAUGCCCCACCUGUUCGGGAGUCCAUAGGUGGCGGCGGGAGCGACACCCUUACCCAGCCGGCCAUGCUCAACCUGAAACAGUUCCUCGACACCCAGGACGAGAACAUUUCUGACUCGGAAGUGAUGCGCAAAUACACCGAAUAUAAAACAGACUUCAAGCGCCAGCAGCUAAACGAGUUUUUCGUGGCCCACAAGGAUGAGGAAUGUUUUUCUCUGCAGCUUUUUGGGUUUGUGAGAUAAAGACUUCUCUGAGAGGUUCUGCGCCAUAGCAGAGCUGUUAACUGAAUACAAUUUAUUAAUUACCCGGCGAGCAAUGCCGAGGUGUGUUCAUAUUUCAAAACCGCGAUUUAUUUAAAUUCGAUUGCCCAAAUAAAUAUAAAACAAUCCCAUAAAUAACGAAAGCGAUAAGCUUGCAAGGUUCAAAAACAAAUACCAUCCCGAGGACAGUGUUAAACGCAGCGAGGAGCAGCGGGGCUUCCUUCAGAGGCGCACUGAUGUUUU